UGGAAGAAGGUGUGGAUGAAUGCUACAGCUAAAAAAUGUUUCACAGUCUGCUUCAGCUCUUCUAUCACCUCAUGGUGCUUUUAUAUAAUUAGAACAAUCCUAUGAUUUUCAGAGACAACAAACUUUCUUUCUUGUAAAAUUUAUUCUGCUGCUCAGCAGGAAUCUUCGCAAGUUCUCUCCAGCUGAAGCAAACAGAUUUAGGUAUACAGAACUCAUUCCUUCAUGAAGAAUGAAAGAGACAUGCUGAUGUUACUGUGAACUUCCAUAGUCAAAAUUGAUCCCAUUGCAAGAUCUGAAUAGGACAUUGCCACACAGAUAAAUGAUCUUAGCAACAGUGAAGAAAAAGCUCUUGAAAAGGCUCCGCCUGGAUCCUGUACUCUGCCAGCCUUGUAUUUAAUGCAGAUACCUCACAUGAAGAAAUUUAAGAAAAUAGCUCCUGAAUGCAAUGUUCACAGUCAGACCUUGCCCACAACAGAAGCACUGAAGACAAAGAAUAGAAGAUAGUGGGAUAAAGAAAGACAAAAUAAAAUGAUGUAAAGAAGAUCCAUUUACUACAAACGUUCUCGCUACAACAAGUCAGACUAUUUGCCACAGAGUGUAGAUUCUGCAUGACAAACUGCAGUUUAUAUGUAGGCAUUUAGAUACCUGGACUCCAGAAUGGACUCUGACUGCAGACUCAUACAUUUCAGUGUGAUGAGUACCUUUGCUACCUUACAGCAAGGCUUUACUGUACAACACUAAGGUGAUACUCAUGGGCAUACGCUCCCCAAAGAAAGGCAAUCAUUAUGAAAUACCCAACUUCAAAACUACAAGCUGCCUGAAUUUUAAUUUUUUGUUCUCUAAAUAAACUGCCACAGUGUUUAAUUA